rnacentral:rRNA from 1 species
CACGUAGGCACCAAGCGUUGUCCGGAUUUAUUGGGCGUAAAGAGCUCGUAGGCGGUUCGGUAAGUCGGGUGUGAAAACUUUGGGCUUAACCCAAAGCGUGCAUCCGAUACUGCUGUGACUUGAGUUCGGUAGGGGAGUGGGGAAUUCCUAGUGUAGCGGUGAAAUGCGCAGAUAUUAGGAGGAACACCGGUGGCGAAGGCGCCACUCUGGGCCGAAACUGACGCUGAGGAGCGAAAGCAUGGGUAGCAAACAGG